rnacentral:rRNA from 1 species
UACGUAGGGUGCGAGCGUUAAUCGGAAUUACUGGGCGUAAAGCGUGCGUAGGCGGUUCGUUAAGUUCGUUGUGAAAGCCCCGGGCUCAACCUGGGAAUGGCAAUGGAAACUGGCGGGCUGGAGUAUGGCAGAGGCGAGUGGAAUUCCUGGUGUAGCGGUGAAAUGCGCAGAUAUCAGGAAGAACACCGGUGGCGAAGGCGGCCCUCUGGACGGAUACUGACGCUGAGGCGCGAAAGCGUGGGGAUCAAACAGG